rnacentral:rRNA from 1 species
AUACGGAGGAUGCGAGCGUUAUCCGGAUUUAUUGGGUUUAAAGGGAGCGUAGGUGGGAUAUUAAGUCAGCUGUGAAAGUUUGGGGCUCAACCUUAAAAUUGCAGUUGAUACUGGUUUCCUUGAGUACGGUACAGGUGGGCGGAAUUCGUGGUGUAGCGGUGAAAUGCUUAGAUAUCACGAAGAACUCCGAUCGCGAAGGCAGCUCACCGGGCCGGAACUGACACUGAUGCUCGAAAGUGCGGGUAUCAAACAGGAUUAGAUACCCUGGUAGUCCACACAGUAAACGAUGAAUACUCGCUGUUUGCGAUAUACAGUAAGCGGCCAAGCGAAAGCAUUAAGUAUUCCACCUGGGGAGUACGCCGG